UAAGCGGAGGAAAAGAAACUAACAAGGAUUCCCCUAGUAACUGCGAGUGAAGCGGGAAAAGCUCAAAUUUAAAAUCUGGUGGUCUUUGGCCAUCCGAGUUGUAAUUUAGAGAAGCGUCUUCCGCGCUGGACCGUGCACAAGUCUCCUGGAAUGGAGCGUCAUAGAGGGUGAGAAUCCCGUCUUUGGCAUGGACACACCAGGGCUUUUGUGAUGCGCUCUCGAAGAGUCGAGUUGUUUGGGAAUGCAGCUCAAAAUGGGUGGUGAACUCCAUCUAAAGCUAAAUAUUGGCGAGAGACCGAUAGCGAACAAGUACCGUGAGGGAAAGAUGAAAAGCACUCUGGAAAGAGAGUGAAACAGUACGUGAAAUUGUUGAAAGGGAAACGCUUGAAGUCAGUCACGUCGACCGAGACUCAGCCUUGCCUCGGCUUGGUGUACUUCUCGGCUGACGGGUCAGCAUCAAUUUUGCCCCUUGGAUAAUGGCGAGGGAAAUGUGACACCUUUAUGGUGUGUUAUAGUCUCUCGUCGCAUGCAAGGGUUGGGAUUGAGGAACUCAGCACGCGCCUUUUGGUGUCGGGGCUUUGCCCACGAUACGUGCUUAGGAUGUUGGCAUAAUGGCUUUAAACGACC
rnacentral:rRNA from 1 species